ACAACUUCUUUUAGCUUCAUCAAACUCUGAUAAUUCGUGAAACCUGCACAUGAUGAUGAGAGAGUGAAUUCUGAACAGGAUGCACAUAUUGUAUCUUGUUGUCUUCAUACAUAUGUUCUAUCCUGGCUAAGUUAGGCAACAGACUCUGUCCAUUAGGUGUUUGUUUUGCAAUUGGGGAUUAUAGGAUACCGUGGCCCUAGAUGAACAUACAUGUUAUAAGUUGUGCGAUCUACAGGAACCAAACCUGCUGCACUGCUGGCAGAAACGCUGUCUUAAGCCGGAAAGAAGAACCACUGCAGCCUUGGCAUGAAAUUCACAAACUUUAUGUCGACGAUGGUAAGGCUUGGCAUCAGCCAUAUCAGCGGUGCAGUCUUCUGCCUGGCAAGAACGCUGUGUUGAUCCUCCUGCACCAGAUACUCUUCUUUUGGAGGGAGUCAAGGCUCCUUUUUUCUUGCUAUCUUCUCCAGUAUCUUCGUCAUCUUCACCUUCCUCAUCCAAUUCAGGUACCAGGAGGAUCCUCUUCCCUUCUUCCUUGCUGGUUUCCAUUCCUUUGGCGUAGAAUCUUGGAGAGUGAAUGCCUGAGGAGUAGUAACCAGAUGAAGAAAGUGAAAACAAGGUGAAUAAGUCGAGCUUGACUGGUGGAAAAGAGAGCAGAAAUAGGCCAGGACCACAGGUACUGAUGCCAUCUUUCCUUUUUUCCUUGAAUGCGUAGUCUAAUUUUGUACUAAACAAUUUUUGGUGUUAAAAGCUUGAUAAAGUAUGUUAUGGGAGGGGUAGGGGUCAUUUGCAACCCUGUUGACCUAAAAGUUAAAUUUGAUACCACUCUUAAUCUUCCAAUAAAACUCAACUUUUAUGUGACCCUA